rnacentral:tRNA from 1 species
GCAGUCGUGGCCGAGUGGUUAAGGCGAUGGACUAAUAAUCCAUUGGGGUCUCCCUGCACUGGGUCGAACCCUGUCGACUGCG